CAGAAAGAGUUGCGGGUCCCAGGCCCCCGGAACCCAGGGCUUCGCCAUCCAGGACAACUGCUCUGCCAACGAGGUCCCGCGAGAAUCGACAGAUCUCGCGAUACAAACCCACUAGCCUCUCGCGAGUUCCCUCUAGAACCAACAUGGCGGGACGAGGAAAUCGGCAUUUCGGAACCUGGAAAAGGGCUUCGUCAGCGGACUGGAGAACGUGUAGAACAGGGCAAAUGCCAGAAAGCCUUUUCCGCCUUUUGUGUGUCCUCCUUACACCCCCGAGCAGAGGAGGAGAGCGGUAGCGGAGCCCUAACGCCUCCACUGACUACGGUUGGGCCACACAGACACGACCACACGCCGCCGCCUCGACCUGCCUCCCGGCCGGUCACGUGCACGCGGCCCCCGGCGUGCGCGUCACGUGGGCCGCCGCUGGCCGAGCGCGCGCCGGUCGUCCUCCCGAGAGCCCUCCCCGCCCCCCUAUCGCCCGCGCACACGUGCGCGCGCACCCCCGCCCCACGUGGGGGCUUUGCCGCCGCCGCCGCCGCCGCCGCCGCCAGCCCACCCCCUCCCGGCGCUCGGCGGCCGAUCCGGGUCCCCGAGCCGAGGGCGCCCGGGGCUCCGUCCUCCUGCGCCCUCCCUUCCCCGCGUCCGCCCCCCCCGCCCCGCGCCGCCGCCGCCGCCGCCGCCGCCACGUGCCCCGAGCGCCUGCUCACCUUCCGCGCGGGGCCGGGCGCCGCGGGCCGCUCGCAGAGGCGCCGCCGCCGCCGCCACGGCCGUCGCUCGGGGGCCGCCGCAGGAAGCUCGGCCGCGGCGCCGCGGCGCUUCCAGGUGGGUCCCCGCCUCCCGCUCCUGCCACUUCCCGCAGCCGCGGCGGCUCCUUCCGGUCCCCUCCUCUCUCCGCGCUGGGGCCGGCGGGCGGCGAAGGCGGGCGGGCGCGCUCACUGCACCGCCUGCUGGCGGCCGCGGCCCGUGCAGCGCGCGGCGGGGGCGGCGGGGGCGGCGGGGCGGCGGGGGCGGCGGCGCCGGGGCCGGGGGGGGCGGGGGCGCACACGCCCGCAGGUGCGCGGGGCCGGCCGCUGCCCCCCGCCGGCCCCCGCCCUGUCCUUGCGGCUGCUCCCGCGGCGCCCGGCCUCGUCCGUCCACGCGCGCUGCUGCGUCUGCCCGAGGGCUCCUGCGGCUCCGAGUCGCCGCUGCUCGGGCCGGACCGGAGGGCGCGGGGCUGCGGCUCCGCGGACACCGUGCCCGGGAGGCCGCGCUCGCAGCCCCGCCCUCCCCGGCUCCCGCGGCCGUGGCCCCCGGGCUGGCCCUGGCGGUGCCCCCCCCCGCCCGCCCGCCCGCCCCGCCGCCAGGAACGGGGGCUCCGUCCACGCGGGGACUCCGUGGCUCCUGCUCGUUGCUGCGGCCCCGGGCCCGUGUCAGGCACCCAGCGGGGCGGCCCGAGGGGUCCAGUGUCUACCGCAGGCCGGCGGCGGCCCCGGGGACCCGGGAUGCGGGAUCGAGCCCCGCGUCGGCCCUCGGCCUGGGUCUCUGCCUCUCUCGCUGCAUGUGGGUCUCUCAAGAAUCAAUGAAUAA
rnacentral:lncRNA from 1 species